CGUACACUCCUGCGGGAGGCAGCAGUGGGGAAUAUUGCACAAUGGGCGCAAGCCUGAUGCAGCCAUGCCGCGUGUAUGAAGAAGGCCUUCGGGUUGUAAAGUACUUUCAGCGGGGAGGAAGGCGAUAAGGUUAAUAACCUUGUCGAUUGACGUUACCCGCAGAAGAAGCACCGGCUAACUCCGUGCCAGCAGCCGCGGUAAUACGGAGGGUGCAAGCGUUAAUCGGAAUUACUGGGCGUAAAGCGCACGCAGGCGGUCUGUCAAGUCGGAUGUGAAAUCCCCGGGCUCAACCUGGGAACUGCAUUCGAAACUGGCAGGCUAGAGUCUUGUAGAGGGGGGUAGAAUUCCAGGUGUAGCGGUGAAAUGCGUAGAGAUCUGGAGGAAUACCGGUGGCGAAGGCGGCCCCCUGGACAAAGACUGACGCUCAGGUGCGAAAGCGUGGGGAGCAAACAGGAUUAGAUACCCCUGUAGUCCCA
rnacentral:rRNA from 1 species